UGGAGGGUUGUGGUUGUUGUUGUAUGGUGGAGGAUUUUGGAGUGUAGAUUGCGGUGGUUUCGAUUUAGUUGUUGGUGUAAGGUGGAUUUCAGACAAGGAUGGAUUUUGUUGUUGUUUCUAACGAAGGAUGUUUGUUGUUUGCACGCCGGAACGGUUAAAUGAUGGUGGUGAUGGUAGUUUGGAUAUGAACACGACGGAGAUGGAAUGUAAGACGUUGUUGGUGGUGAGUUGAGGUACACAGUUGGUUUGAUAGAGUUAUAAUGGUGAUGUUGGUUUUAUGUUUGUGAGGAAAAAGACGGUGAUCAAGUGUUUUUAAAGGGGAGGUUGAAGUGUAAUGAGGGAUGAAGAAACAAGGUAACGAAAGUGAAAAUGAAAGGG
rnacentral:lncRNA from 1 species